CCAAAGCUCCCCCCACAGCUAUCCCUGGAAUGUGCAACCAUCCCUGCUGCAGGACACCUGUCAGCUCUUGCUUCAAAAUCUCAUUAAGGACUGGCUGGGCAUUAUCUAAUCCAGAAGGACUUGUUUGGAUGAAUUAUUUCUAUGAGCAGCCAGGAUGCAGCACCAGAGCAAUCACCACCCUGCUGCAGUGAUGCAAAAGGAAACCAGGGCUGUGGACUGUAGCUUGGUCUGAAUUGCCUGGGUAGUUGCUUCUUUUGAUCCAAGGAAUUGAACAAAAUUACAAAGUGUUUCUAUUAGGAAGAAAGGCUAAGAGGACACCAAAGCUCAAAGGUGUGCCAUUACUGUGAAUUCUUGCACAAAUAGGGAAUACUCAGAUCCCUGAGUGUUGUCACCAUCAUGAUUACUUUGUGAAGAGCAUGUGGAAGUUUUAAGUGGAGAAACAGAGAGAUGGGUUACUACUGCCAGGUUCAAAUAUUUAAGUAUCGUGAGCCAGAUUCCCCCAAGUCCAAACAAAAUUUUCUUUAAAUAGCAAAGGUGUUCUCUUGACUUAGGCUGUUACUUGGAUUAUAUUUCCUCUGCAAGCACAAGGACAAGAAAUUUACUUUUUGUAAAAAGCAAGACCCUCAUCUCAGAUCUUCAGAACCCACAGGUCUAAAAGCUCCCAAGGUGACUAGAAACAUCACAGGCAUAGUGCUAAAUAAACUGUCUCCAAAUGCUGCUUUGUUUUCCAAGCUCAUUGACUUGGUAAGUGGACUUCUUGUCUUCUCUUUUUUUCAGUGCUUUUUUGUUUCACAUACAGAGGGGAAAACAGUGUUUCAGAGGGUAGCAUGAUAACAUUCUUGCAAGUGGGUCCACAGUCACUUUUUCCUCUUUGAAAUGUUUUAGAUUAUGAGAUAUUUUCAAGUUUAAAAACUGCCAGGGAAGGAAAUUUCUUCAGAAGUGUCCUUUGAGUCAGAGAUAAAAGUGGUGCCCAGCAGGUGUGGGCUAGCAGUAGUCAAAGAAAAGAUGAACUCCCAGCAGAAGCUAUGAAGUUCACUCCCUCUAGUUCUGCUACUGUAUAAGACUACAUCAUUCUUUAUUUCUAACCUUCUCUUUUCCUAUCCACUGGCUGUAGCAAUAAAUGUGAAAAAAAUCUGCAUAUGAAUCCAGAUUCUUAGCCUCAUUAUCUUGCUGUUUAUGAUGAUUUCCCUGAGGACAGAACUCAGACGACCAGCCACUUCAUGCAGUGACCCAGGCUCCAUCAAGGGGUGACACAUCUGGACACCUCUGCAGAAAAUGGAGCACACUCCAGGGCUGUGGGAGC